rnacentral:rRNA from 1 species
AUUGACGGGGCCCGCACAAGCGAGGAACAUGUGGUUUAAUUCGAUGAUACGCGAGGAACCUUACCCGGGCUUGAAUUGCAUAUGAGUCGCGGAGAGAUCCGUGAGCCGCAAGGCAUAUGUGAAGGUGCUGCAUGGUUGUCGUCAGCUCGUGCCGUGAGGUGUCGGCUUAAGUGCCAUAACGAGCGCAACCCCUGUCCCCAGUUGCCAUCGGUUCAAGCCGGGCACUCUGCGGAGACUGCCGUCGUAAGAUGUGAGGAAGGCGGGGAUGACGUCAAAUCAGCACGGCCCUUACGUCCGGGGCUACACACGUGUUACAAUGGGGGGCACAGAAGGCAGCGACCGGGCAACCGGGAGCGAAUCCCAAAAUCCCCUCCCAGUUCGGAUUGGGGUCUGCAACCCGACCCCAUGAAGCUGGAUUCGCUAGUAAUCGCGCAUCAGCCAUGGCGCGGUGAAUACGUUCCCGGGCCUUGUACACACCGCCCGUCAAGCCAUGAAAGCCUGGGGCGCCUGAAGUCCGUGACCGCGAGGGUCGGCCUAGGGUGAAACAGGUGAUUGGGGCU